GAGUUUGAUUAUGGCUCAGGAUGAACGCUAGCGAUAGGCUUAACACAUGCAAGUCGAGGGGCAGCACGGGAUUAGCUUGCUAAUCUUGGUGGCGACCGGCGUAAGGGUGCGUAACGCGUAUGCAACUUGCCUGUCAGUGGGGAAUAACCCGGAGAAAUCCGGACUAAUACCGCAUACACUUUAGUUUCCGCAUGGGAACUUUAGGAAAGAUUUAUUGCUGACGGAUAGGCAUGCGUUCCAUUAGAUAGUUGGUGAGGUAACGGCUCACCAAGUCGACGAUGGAUAGGGGAGCUGAGAGGCUUAUCCCCCACACUGGAACUGAGACACGGUCCAGACUCCUACGGGAGGCAGCAGUGAGGAAUAUUGGUCAAUGGGCGAGAGCCUGAACCAGCCAAGUCGCGUGAAGGAAGACGGUCCUAUGGAUUGUAAACUUCUUUAGUAGGUGAGUACAAGCAGUUACGUGUAGC
rnacentral:rRNA from 1 species